GGCCGACCCCGGCUCCCCUCAGGCACCAGCUGUGUCUCCAGGCACCACCCAGCCUCGGUGGCCCGAGUGUCAACUUUAGGUGGCCCUGCGCCUAAAUUUCGUGACCCUGCUUGAUUUGGGGAGCCUUCGGUUGGGAUCUGUUGGGUCCCAACCGCCCCGUGAGCCUGCACCCAAGCUUGGGCUGGUGCUCACACCCCUGGGUGCCCUCCUCAGGGCAGCCCGGACCCACUGGUGCCCACCAGCGAUGGCCGGGCCUGCUGCUCUUGGGGUGGCAGAGGGAGGUCAGCCACAACGAGGUGACAGAAAACCCGGCUAGCAGGGUGUUAUCUUUCUCUCAGGAAGUAGUAAUAGCCACUUCACCCCCGACGGUACUUUUGCCAGAAUAAAAUAGUUUUUCUGAGGUCUCUUUUUAUCAGCUUUCCACCAAAGUCACUCUCCUCGCAACGCAGUCUCUCCCAUUUCUUUCCCUCUUUUCGUUCCACCCACUUAUCUUCUGCCUCCCUCCCCCUGCCUCAUUCCUCCCAUACCCCCUUCAUUAUCUCCUCUCUAACAAGCUCCUGCCAUCCUGAAAGGUUUCAUAACUAAACUCUGGCAGUCACUUCUUGCACACAUUUGCAGACAAAAAGGAAUUCUGAUUCCUCCAUCCCUAGAUGAGCCAGAGACCAACAUCAGCGCCCUUACCCCAUUUAGGAAACCAAGUUGGGGCCUCUCCUUCCUCUGGGAUCUGGGAAAUAUUGUUGUAAUGAUUGCCCUUUCCCUAUUCUCGCCGCCCAUGGAGCGGAUGGUUCCCAGCAUUACUGGCAGCAGAGAGUCUGAUAGCAGGAAAGGACAAUAGGGGCUUAAUUUCAUUCGGUUGCAAACCAUUAUUUAUUACUUACUAUUUUUGCAGAGUGUCUGUGAUGUGCAAUGAAGAAGCUGAUGUUCCUUAAAGUGACUGCCAUGCACUGAAACAGCUGAAUACCCUGGUGAAGCAAUCAUGUUAAACAUUACAGAUAUCCCCAUCUUGUUUAAAUUAAAAUUGUCGCUGUAAUGUCAGCAAUACCCAUACAAACUACAAGCAAACACACAGCUGUGUUCCAUAUUACCACUCAGUUUUACUAAUGUCUUUCGCCUACCCUCUGAUGUGAUUUUUUUUUCAUUGUCCCUGUUCUUAAAAUGCUUAAGACUCAUCUUAAGCUACUGCAUUUUAUGUAAUAUGGUGGUGAUGAUGUACUUCUACAGAACUUGUAAAGAUACUGUAUGUCACUCAUCCGUCUGCAAUUCAACCUACAGCAUCCUCCAACUGACUGGACAAACUCUUCCAGGGCCAGAUGCCCCCAACAUCUGGCAGGAGGACAGCAUAAUUACAUAAAUACCUCCACAUCCCAUGAUCCAGAGCAAACACCUGCUGAUGUUAAUGGGAGGAGAGAGGAUUACAGUUCCUGCAAUCAGCUUUUUCACCCUGUAAAUCAGCUUCUGACCUCUGUCUCACUUUAUUUAGCUCCCUACCAAUACAGCCAUUAAUGGUAUGUAACACUCACAGUGCUUGUUCUCUGCCAGGGGCUCCUGUCUGCUAGGAACCAGGUAGAGAUGAGCAACUGAUUUCUGAUACCCUGCUCAGCUGCCAUAUAAAGAUCAGCUAUGACACGGUCUAGACAGGAAAUCACAACUUCAGUUUUAAAGGUUUUUAUCCAUAUUGCUGUGUCAUUGCCCACAGAUUACGGUCCGUGUCAGUCAGCACUGUAACCUCCAAAAGUGGUCCUCUGGCAGCCACACUUGGAGGUGCCCCCUCACCGCAUCCAGUCUGUCUGGAAAACAUGUCUUCAUUUCUUCAGUUCCUUUCAGUAAUGGCCAGAAAGUGGUGAUACAGUAAUAGAUAUUCUCUUCCCUUUUAUACCACUUUGAAGAUGUUCCUUUAUCAAAAAUGUUCCUAGACGUCUAGUUUUACUGAAAAUGGCCAAUUAGCAAUGAGAUACUAGCAAGUGCUAAUACUGUGUUAUCUCACCGUAGGUUACCAAGAUAAAUGCCCGCGAUAUGGCUGUAUUUCAUAAUCAGCAGUAGAACAGAACUGGCAAGCCUAGACUGAUCUCUGUGGCAGGCACUGACAAAAAUCUUACUAAUUCCAGGUACUUGCCAUUACUGCGGAAAACUAAAUCCAGCAGCAAAACCAGAUACUGUACUUUUUUUCCCCAGAGAAAACAGUGCUAUUGAGUAAUGAGAAAAUAUCUCAUGCAACAACUGGCCCAUUCCCAUUAUACAUCUUUAAUCACAGUCAGCUGUUCACAAGUCAAGUUACCAGUGCAGGUAUUUUUGAUGUAUUACACCUAAUAGCAGCAUUUACAACAAAAGCUGCGCUACACAACCUGCUAGAAGAAAGGUAUGUGUUAGGGAUCACUCACAGGUCAAAGAUGUUUCACUUCUUUUUAGGAUGUUAGGAAGCAUGACUAAGAGGUAACGUUCUGGACCUCCUCCGCACAUUUUCAUUGACUGGCUUCCAUUAUGCAGCCUGAUCCAGUCCUGACAACGUCACUGCAAAAAAUCCCGUGCGUUUGACCUUAGUUACUGAGAGUCAGCAUUUUGUGUUAGUUUAACCACAUCAGAAGAGUGGUCUGCUUGUGGAAAAACAAACCCGGGAAUGCCUUGCAGAGGAAAACAAGAAAGGAGCACAACCUUGGUUACUGCAUGCUCUUCGGUGGGCACAACCUCCUCAACUUGUAUAUCUUAAAAAGAAAUAACAGAACCAAAGACGAAAUCAAUUAGCAGUACAGGAUCCCUGAUGCAAUCUGAUGCUAAUCAGCACAAUACCAAACUUUACAAUACGCCUUUACAAUAAGUCCUCAAGAACUGACUGUAAAUUAAUGAAGCUUCAUGAAGUUUAUUAUACUCCAAAUGAUGUUGUACUUCUGUAGCUUCAAAUAGCAGCUCAGACAGCCGGAUAUACAUACAUCAAGUAAUAUUUACAUCCUUGGCAAUGAUCUUUAUCUCUUUGGGGGUCCUACAGCUCUGGAAUUUGUUUUCUAUCAUGGGCUGAAUGUCCCAAGUCUGAUGUUGCAAGUCUGACUUACUUCUGGAAGGGAAGAAAAGAUCUGAGGUUUUCCACUGCUUGUUUUCCUAACAGCAGACUGCAGUGAAUUGCAUACUAAUUCUGUGGUUGAAGUUAUGUGAAAAGUACCAAGGACAUGAGUAGGUGUCCUCUUUUACAUCUAAGUAAACAAACAAAUAUUUCGGAGAGAGAAAAACAAGAAUCACUAUGAACGAAGACAAAAUGUUCCAGCUUGUUCCCUGGCACGCUCUCCUUGCUGGUUAUUUCUAUAUGCAAAUGAUCAUCAUUUUAAGGUAGCUUUAAUAGGGAUCAGUUAUAAAGCUGUUUCACUCUUGCCCAGUUUAUUGAGAGAUUGGCACCUAUCUGUUUGCCCUUCUCCCUUGCAGCUUCCUGAAGCCCUGGGAAAGGAUCACUCCACGUUUUGCCAGCAGCAGAGCGCUGCUGUCUCGCAUUAGCUGGGGCCAAAUUCUUUCACUUUUGUUCACGGUGAUUAAUGCUGAAAUAAACAGGACUUCUUGCAGAAUUCAAUGUGCAAAGGCUCAAAGUAUGCUCAGAUACAGACUCCAGUAACAAAGUAUCUGCUGUUUGACUGCACUCCACCUCCCUUGCUGGAACUGGCAUGGAGGAGAUGGGGGAAGGGGGGAAUUAAGAUUUUUUUCUGUUCACAUGACAAAUGGUUGUAUAUUAUUAAUAAGAAACUGUAAUACCAAAGUACCUAGAACCAGAAACUGGAUGGAACAAAAAUACAAUCUUUGCCCUCAGGCAACUGCAAACUAAACAUAAACCAAGACACCAGUGGAGAGAAGGGUAGGAAGGGAAGAGUACAUGAGAACGAUAAAACAAUGCUGGCCAGUGUACUAACUGCUGGUGUUAGCACGCCAGAAUUCAUUUUUGGAGGCACUGACACGAAGCAAGUUAGCAAGAGGGUCUCACAGGAGGUUAAUGCGAUAUCGUAAUAUAUUCAGAGGACCAACUCCCAAGCAUGAGGGGCAGCUUUAGAGAAAGCGUGCCAAUGCAUAUUUGAAAAUGUAAUGGGUAGACAAUGAAAGCUGGCAUCCCAUGCAGACAGACUGUGGGAAUCAAGCUUUUAAUAUUGAGCGAAUGAUAGAUAGCGGAAGGGCCUUCAGCCGUCAGCCAACCAGCCUCCGCUGGAUGCAACAUAAAGGCAGAGCGAACUGCAAUGAAUGGUGACAGCAGAGGACUGCCAGCGGUUUUGCAUUUGGGAUGCACUCAAGUAGACCAGACCAUGUCUAUCAAGGCAGAGUAAGUGAGAAUAACGAUGAGAUGGCAAACAUGGGAUAGAAGUUCUUCCUAGAGCAACCAUGAAUUUUCACCUGAAAAACUCCUCCAGAGAGAAAAUUCAUUUCUUAAAGAAUAAAAUUAGAGAAAAAUUCAGGGUUCUCUGUUUGUUUUCUAGAAAACAACUGCAACAUUCCUGUUCUUACCAUGGAGCAGGAUUUUCACCAGCUGGCCAACCUUACCUUGGACUUCUAUCCGUAUCUCAGAUCCUAGCCGUAGCUAGCUCCUGCAGAUUCUUUCUGAAUAAUCCCUCUCCUGCUCUUUUCAUGCCUCCUUAACUCAGCCUAAGUUGUCGCACAAGAACAAUGAACCCCAGGGGAAGGCCCCACAUGAUAGGUAGGAGGAUGCUGCAGUCAGUGAGAGGAGCGAAAAAGGUUAUAGAGAGGUAUCUGUGGCACGGAUGGUCAGUGAAUGGAUCACUAAGUCAAAAGAGCACCUCUAGUGCCUACCUCUAGCAGACAACAAAGCUUAUACUCAAAUUGAAAAUUUCUCUGAAAUGCAGACACAGAAGCCCUUGCCCAUCUCUCAGCAGAGAAAAAUGGCCAAAAUAUACCAAGCACCAAUAAACUUUCAAUGUCUUUGGUAGGAUGCUCUGUGGACAUCUUUAAAGUAUAGUAUGUUGCAGACAUGAAAGCCUGGGCUGGGCAAAGCUCGUGGUCACUGGAGAAAUAAUCACUUCUUCAAUGAUUAAGCAACUGGGAAUGUGGCAUACAUUUUAUGCGUGUAGAUAUAGUAUUUUUUUACAGGAGCAGAGCUUGACAUUUGAAGGUGAUUAAUGCACCCGCGGAAGUGAGCGGUUAUGUUGAAACAAGAAAUGUCUCAGCGCAGAACAUUGCCCCUGCUCUUCUCAUUCUAGCUUCUGGUGUCACAUUUUUUCCCCACCUUUUUGUUGCUUGACAAAAAUAUAU